rnacentral:rRNA from 1 species
GGAGAGAUGGAGUGACACAGUAGGAUAAGCUAACCGUACUGUUGGUUAUGUACGGCUAAGCAUUGAGGCAGUCUAAAUAGGCAAAUCCGUUUGGACAAUGCUAGGAUGUGAUGGGGAAGCCCUCCGGGGCGAAGUAGCUGAUUUCACACUGUCAAGAAAAGCUUCUAUCGAGUUUAAAGGCGCCCGUACCGUAAACCGACACAGGUGGGUGAGGAGAGUAUCCUAAGGCCAGCGAGAGAACUAUUGUUAAGGAACUCGGCAAAAUGACCCCGUAACUUAGGGAGAAGGGGUGCCUGUCUAUGACAGGCCGCAGAGAAUAGGCCCAAGCGACUGUUUACCAAAAACACAGGUUUCUGCUAAGUCGCAAGACGAUGUAUAGGAGCUGACGCCUGCCCGGUGCUGGAAGGUUAAGGGGAUCUGUUAGAGCAAUCGAAGCAGUGAACUUAAGCCCCAGUAAACGGCGGCCGUAACUAUAACGGUCCUAAGGUAGCGAAAUUCCUUGUCGGGUAAGUUCCGACCCGCACGAAAGGCGUAACGAUUUGGGCACUGUCUCAACAAUAGACUCGGUGAAAUUGUAAUCCCGGUGAAGAUGCCGGGUACCUGCGACAGGACGGAAAGACCCCAUGGAGCUUUACUGUAGCUUGACGUUGGGUCUUGGUACUACAUGUACAGGAUAGGUGGGAGACUAUGAAGCAUGGACGCCAGUCUGUGUGGAGUCAUCCUUGGGAUACCACCCUUGUAGUACUGGGAUCCUAACCAUAGGCCUUGAAUCAGGUCUUGGAACACCGUCAGGUGGGCAGUUUGACUGGGGCGGUCGCCUCCUAAAAAGUAACGGAGGCGCUCAAAGGUUUCCUCAGCACGGUCGGAAAUCGUGCGAAGAGUGUAAAGGCAAAAGGAAGCUUGAUUGCAAGACAUACAGGUCGAGCAAGGACGAAAGUCGGACUUAGUGAUCCGGUGGUACCGCAUGGAAGGGCCAUCGCUCAACGGAUAAAAGCUACCCUGGGGAUAACAGGCUUAUCUCCCCCAAGAGUCCACAUCGACGGGGAGGUUUGGCACCUCGAUGUCGGCUCAUCACAUCCUGGGGCUGUAGUAGGUCCCAAGGGUUGGGCUGUUCGCCCAUUAAAGUGGUACGCGAGCUGGGUUCAGAACGUCGUGAGACAGUUCGGUCCCUAUCCGUCGCAGGCGUAGGAAAUUUGAGAAGACCUGUCCUUAGUACGAGAGGACCGGGAUGGACGUACCUCUGGUGUACCAGUUGUUCUGCCAAGGGCAUGGCUGGGUAGCUAUGUACGGAAUGGAUAAGCGCUGAAAGCAUCUAAGCGCGAAGCCAACUUCAAGAUAAGAUUUCCCACCGUAAGGGUAAGACCCCAGGAAGACUACCUGGUUGAUAGGUCGAAGGUGUAAGUGCAGUAAUGUAUUUAGCUUAUCGAUACUAAUAGGUCGAGGACUUGACCG